CUGACAAAUACCAGUGGAGCCCAAAACGCCACCCCUGGAGAGUCGGUCUGUACGAUGUCAUCAUUGCUGGGAUAUAUAUGCCUGUGUCAACAUAUGCCACAUGUGUGAAGAUGCUAGAGAGGCAAGAAGAGAGCUUGGAAUCACUUGGACAUCCAAUCUGAACAGAGAUAAAAUUAUUCAGGUGAUCUUGGGGCCAUGCGUCACAGGUAUGUGUAUAAACAAUAAUAGUUAGGAUCCCCAAAUGUCCAUACUAAGCAGGCUGUGCAGUUCUCAUUCCACAUAUUCAGAUCUUUAUAUAUAAAUGCAUGUUAAUGCCAUGUUUAUGGAUUUCUGUUCCCAGAAGAGAAAUACGAGCCUACUGAAAACAGGCAGUCUUGACUCAUAAUGUGAGCCUUACUGCUGUACAGAGAAAGCAUCUGCAAAAAGGUAGUAACCAGUACAUAGUCACUGAGCAAUCAGUGGCAACUCUUAGACUCAUGAACUACAUCUUAGUUUUGUUUCUAGAU
rnacentral:sRNA from 1 species